GCUGUGAACUACUAGAAUAUCAGGGUCUUGGCCUCUGGCCAUGAAGCUGAGGACUGUUGGUCCUGUCCUUUGGAAACAGCCAUUUGGAACUAGCCUCUCCAAAGCCAACUUGUUGCUAUGUGUGAAAUUUUCCAGGAAGUGAGCCACUUCAUGCUUUUAACCCCCAAGGAAGUUGAUAGGUUUUGCAUUCCACUCCCCGAAAGAUUCAAGAUACUGAAGAGACAAGAAGGAAAAAGGCACUCAGGAAGGAAAAACCUUCCAAGAGGAGGAGAUAUUUCAGUGGGCUUUUGACAGUUCCAGAUGUACUGUUGUAUCAAGAGAAAUGCUGCCACUCAUCUGAGGUCCUUCUCUUCUGCAAG